AAACAAUUUCGCCAUUUUUGUACUCACAAUCUCUUCCCUAUUCUCUCUGCUCCGAUUAACCUGAAGCUUCUCUCUCCGACGAACAAAUGGAUGGGCAGGAUGCAGAUAAUACAAAACAAAGCACCGCUGAUAUGACUGUAUUUGUA